UACGGAGGAUCCGAGCGUUAUCCGGAUUUAUUGGGUUUAAAGGGAGCGUAGGUGGAUUGUUAAGUCAGUUGUGAAAGUUUGCGGCUCAACCGUAAAAUUGCAGUUGAAACUGGCAGUCUUGAGUACAGUAGAGGUGGGCGGAAUUCGUGGUGUAGCGGUGAAAUGCUUAGAUAUCACGAGGAACUCCGAUUGCGAAGGCAGCUCACUGGACUGCAACUGACACUGAGGCUCGAAAGUGUGGGUAUCAAACAGG
rnacentral:rRNA from 1 species